AGCGAACGCUGGCGGCAGGCUUAACACACGCAAGUCGAACGGGCGUAGCAAUACGUCAGUGGCAGACGGGUGAGUAACGCGUGGGAACGUACCUUUUGGUCGAACAACCCAGGGAAACUUGGGCUAAUACCGGAUAAGCCCUUACGGGGAAAGAUUUAUCGCCGAAAGAUCGGCCCGCGUCUGAUUAGCUAGUUGGUGUGGUAACGGCGCACCAAGGCGACGAUCAGUAGCUGGUCUGAGAGGAUGAUCAGCCACAUUGGACUGAGACACGGCCAAACUCCUACGGGAGGCAGCAGUGGGGAAUAUUGGACAAUGGGCGCAAGCCUGAUCCAGCCAUGCCGCGUGAGUGAUGAAAGGCCCUAGGGUUGUAAAGCUCUUUUGUGCGGGAAGAUAAUGACGGUACCGCAAGAAUAAGCCCCGGCUAACUUCGUGCCAGCCGCCGCAGUAA
rnacentral:rRNA from 1 species